AGCGAACGCUGGCGGCAGGCCUAACACAUGCAAGUCGAACGAACUCUUCGGAGUUAGUGGCGGACGGGUGAGUAACACGUGGGAACGUGCCUUUUGGUUCGGAAUAACUCAGGGAAACUUGUGCUAAUACCGAAUGUGCCCUUCGGGGGAAAGAUUUAUCGCCAUAGAGCGGCCCGCGUCUGAUUAGCUAGUUGGUGAGGUAACGGCUCACCAAGGCGACGAUCAGUAGCUGGUCUGAGAGGAUGACCAGCCACACUGGGACUGAGACACGGCCCAGACUCCUACGGGAGGCAGCAGUGGGGAAUCUUGCGCAAUGGGCGAAAGCCUGACGCAGCCAUGCCGCGUGAAUGAUGAAGGUCUUAGGAUUGUAAAAUUCUUUCACCGGGGACGAUAAUGACGGUACCCGGAGAAGAAGCCCCGGCUAACUUCGUG
rnacentral:rRNA from 1 species